UAUUUCCAUGUCUUGGCUAUCGUGAAUAGUACUGUUAUGAACAUAGGGUGUAUGUAUCUUUUUGAAUAAUAGUUUUGCCUGGAUAUAUGCCCAGGAGUGGGAUUGCUGGAUGAUAUGACAACUCUAUUUUGAGCUGCCAUUUUUAAAAGUUUGUAAUUAUAUUCAUAAAUGAGAUUGGACUAUAAGUUUUUUUAAUGUUACCUUUUAUAUGUUUUAGUGUUAGCAUUAUAUUGGAUUUGUAAAAUGAAUUAGGGAUCUUUUCAUACUCAUCUUUAAAUACUAUAAGAAUAACCUUUCUUUGAAAGGUUGAAAAACUCAACUUUAAACUUCUAUGCUUGAUGUCUUAUAGGGAGGAAGAAUUUGACUUGAAAAAACCACAAGGGCCCCUAAAACUAAUUGUGGAAGAAUUGGGGGGGCCAUAUUGGAAUUUGAAUAAUCACAUGAAGGGGAGGCAAGAAGUAGGAACGGGUAAAAGGACAUUGAAUUGAACUUGAGAGGCCUGACCAAUCUAAGCUGGACUGAAGAGACUAGACUGAAUAAGAAGCUGAGUUUGCCCCCUUCACAACUAAUUCUACGUCUUAAUUUUCCCUUUACCUAAAAUGUCAGUGAAGAAAACACAUGACAGCUUCUCAGCAUCACUCCUGUGCAACAUUUUUGACCAUUUCCUCAGCCUUGCAGCUGUUUGGAAAACUGUACCUUAGGUAUGUAUAAAUACACACUUGAACUUUAUAA